AACGCGAAGAACCUUACCUGGGUUUGACAUGCACAGGACGCUGCCAGAGAUGGUAGUUCCGCAAGGUCUGUGUACAGGUGGUGCAUGGCUGUCGUCAGCUCGUGUCGUGAGAUGUUGGGUUAAGUCCCGCAACGAGCGCAACCCUCGUUCCAUGUUGCCAGCGCGUAAUGGCGGGGACUCAUGGGAGACUGCCGGGGUCAACUCGGAGGAAGGUGGGGAUGAGGUCAAGUCAUCAUGCCCCUUAUGUCCAGGGCUUCACACAUGCUACAAUGGCCGGUACAGAGGGCUGCGAAGCCGUAAGGUGGAGCGAAUCUCACAAAGCCGGUCUCAGUUCGGAUCGGGGUCUGCAACUCGACCCCGUGAAGUCGGAGUCGCUAGUAAUCGCAGAUCAGCAACGCUGCGGUGAAUACGUUCCCGGGCCUUGUA
rnacentral:rRNA from 1 species